rnacentral:rRNA from 1 species
GCCAAAAGCCUAGCCCCCACUAAACCUUAUAUUCCCCUUCAAAUACAAAAUAAACUAAAACAUUUGUUUUAUCUUAGUAAAGGCGAUAGAAAAAUUAAUUGGAGCAAUAACGAUAGUACCGCAAGGAAAUGAUGAAAUAAAAAUGAAAUAAAUGUUAAGCAUCAUAAAGCAGAGCUCAAUUCUCGUACCUUUUGCAUCAUGAUUUAACUAGUCUAACCAAGCAAAAAGAACUUUAGUUUGACAUCCCGAAACUAGAUGAGCUACUUCGAGGCAGCUUUAUGAGCCCACCCGUCUCUGUUGCAAAAGAGUGGGAUGACCUCCAAGUAGAGGUGACAGACCUAACGAGUUUAGUGAUAGCUGGUUACUUAAGAAAAGGAUUUUAGUCCAAUCUAAAACAUAUAAAAUUAACUAAGAUACACACAUGUUUUAGCUUCAUUCAAACGAGGUACAGCCCGCUUGAAACAAGGAUACAACCUGCACUAAUGGGUAAAUUUUUAACUCUAUAAUCAAGUGGGCCUAAAAGCAGCCACCUUUAAAAUAGCGUCAAAGCUUACUUAUAUACCUACCCUAAUACCACAAUAGCUACUCAACCCUUUAUUCCUAUUAAGUACUUCAAUAACCUUAUAGAAGAUUUUAUGUUAAAACUAGUAAUAAGAAGUAAGACCUUCUCUUAAAUGCAUGUGUAAAUCAGAAAGGACAACCCACUGAUAAUUAACCGUUUAUGAACACAAAACAGUAACUCUUCUAGAAAACCCUGCUAUGUUUAACGUUAAUCUAACACCAGAGCAUUACAAGAAAGAUUUAAAGAAAAAGAAGGAACUCGGCAAAUAUUAACCCCGCCUGUUUACCAAAAACAUCGCCUCUUGCAAUCCAUAAGAGGUCCAGCCUGCCCAGUGAUAAAAUUCAACGGCCGCGGUAUCCUAACCGUGCGAAGGUAGCGUAAUCACUUGUUCUUUAAAUGAGGACUAGUAUGAAUGGCACCACGAAGGUUAUACUGUCUCCUCUUUCUAAUCAAUGAAACUGAUCCCCCCGUGAAGAAGCGGGGAUAAAAUUAUAAGACGAGAAGACCCUAUGGAGCUUUAAACUAAUGCAACACUAGCAUUAAUACCACUAUAUUCCAGAAUUAUAAAAACCAUUUCAGCUAGCAUGAUUGCUAGUUUUAGGUUGGGGUGACCAUGGAGCAUAAAAUAACCUCCACGCAGAACGGGACCAUUCCUGAGCCAAAAGCUACGACUUUAAGCACUAAUAAAUUAACAUUAAUUGACCCAAUAUAUUGAUCAACGAACCAAGUUACCCUAGGGAUAACAGCGCAAUCCAUUUUAAGAGCCCCUAUCGACAAAUGGGUUUACGACCUCGAUGUUGGAUCAGGGUAUCCCAGUGGUGCAGCCGCUACUAAAGGUUUGUUUGUUCAACAAUUAAAACCCU